GAGAGAGGUAAUGAAACAGCAAAAACUGCUAAUUUUUGCACCCGUGGCUAAACUCCACGGCUCACUCGC
rnacentral:tRNA from 1 species